ACGAACGCUGGCGGCGUGCUUAACACAUACAAGUCGCACGGAAAGGCCCUGCUUUUGUGGGGUGCUCGAGUGGCGAACGGGUGAGUAACACGUGAGUAACCUGCCCUUGACUUUGGGAUAACUUCAGGAAACUGGGGCUAAUACCGGAUAGGAGCUCCUGCUGCAUGGUGGGGGUUGGAAAGUUUCGGCGGUUGGGGAUGGACUCGCGGCUUAUCAGCUUGUUGGUGGGGUAGUGGCUUACCAAGGCUUUGACGGGUAGCCGGCCUGAGAGGGUGACCGGCCACAUUGGGACUGAGAUACGGCCCAGACUCCUACGGGAGGCAGCAGUGGGGAAUAUUGCACAAUGGGCGGAAGCCUGAUGCAGCAACGCCGCGUGCGGGAUGACGGCCUUCGGGUUGUAAACCGCUUUCGCCUGUGACGAAGCGUGAGUGACGGUAAUGGGUAAAGAAGCACCGGCUAACUACGUG
rnacentral:rRNA from 1 species